AGGACGAACGCUUGCGACGUGCCUAAGAAAUGCAAGUCGAACGGAAUUACCUUCGGGUAGUUUAGUGGCGAACGGUCGCGUAACACGUGGGCAACCUGCCCUGAAGCGGGGGACAACAACUCGAAAGAGUUGCUAAUACCGCAUGUGUAUCGGAAUGGCAUCAUUCAGGAUACAAAGGACUUCGGUUCACUUCAGGAUGGGCCCGCGGCCUAUCAGCUAGUUGGUAAGGUAAUGGCUUACCAAGGCUUCGACGGGUAGCUGGUCUGAGAGGACGAUCAGCCGGAUUGGGACUGAGAUACGGCCCAGACUCCUACGGGGGGCAGCAAUUAGGAAUCUUGCGCAAUGGGCGAAAGCCUGACGCAGCGACGUCGCGUGAAGGAUGAAAUCUUUCGGGAUGUAAACUUCUUUUACCAGGAAGAAACAAAUGACGGUACCUGGUGAAUAAGCCCCGGCUAACUACGUGCCAGCAGCCGC
rnacentral:rRNA from 1 species